ensembl:lncRNA
CUGAACUGACUGAAAAAUUUUCAAUAUCUGGGAUCCUCAGCAGACUUAGUCAUUUCCUUCAUGCUGGCUGACUUGAAGAUAACAUCAAGUGUGCAUCUUUGUUGAGGUUCUGGGGAUGGACUGCCUUCCAAGACCAUUCAUUCUGUUUAUAGAACUGAGCUGCAGGUGGUCGUAGGACUGUGCUCCUCACCUCCUUGGUGGCCGUAGGCUGGUGGCUGUUCUCAGCUGCCAAGGUUGUCUCCACUCCUCCGCCAGCAACCCCCUUUAUCCAUCCUCAAGACAGCAACGGCAACUCUGCCAGGGUGGCACUUUGAAUCUCUCAGCCCUUCCCUGUCACCUCUACUCUCCUCCCUCUUCC